UACAGAGGGUGCAAGCGUUGUUCGGAAUUAUUGGGCGUAAAGGGUGCGUAGGCGGCGCGGUAAGUCGGGUGUGAAAUCUCGGGGCUUAACUCCGAAACUGCAUUCGAUACUGCCGUGCUUGAGGACUGGAGAGGAGACUGGAAUUUACGGUGUAGCGGUGAAAUGCGUAGAUAUCGUAAGGAAGACCAGUGGCGAAGGCGGGUCUCGUGGACAGUUCCUGACGCUGAGGCACGAAGGCCAGGGGAGCAAACGGG
rnacentral:rRNA from 1 species